rnacentral:rRNA from 1 species
CCUACGGGGCGCUGCAGUGGGGAAUAUUGGACAAUGGGCGAAAGCCUGAUCCAGCCAUGCCGCGUGUGUGAAGAAGGCCUUCGGGUUGUAAAGCACUUUCAGUGGGGAAGAAAGCCUUUGGGCUAAUACCCUCGAGGAAGGACAUCACCCACAGAAGAAGCACCGGCUAACUCCGUGCCAGCAGCCGCGGUAAUACGGAGGGUGCGAGCGUUAAUCGGAAUUACUGGGCGUAAAGCGCGCGUAGGCGGUCUGAUAAGCCGGUUGUGAAAGCCCCGGGCUCAACCUGGGAACGGCAUCCGGAACUGUCAGGCUAGAGUGCAGGAGAGGAGGGUAGAAUUCCCGGUGUAGCAGUGAAAUGCGUAGAGAUCGGGAGGAAUACCAGUGGCGAAGGCGGCCUUCUGGACUGACACUGACGCUGAGGUGCGAAAGCGUGGGUAGCAAACAGGAUUAGAUACCCGAGUAGUC